rnacentral:rRNA from 1 species
GAUGAACGCUGGCGGCGUGCCUAAUACAUGCAAGUCGAGCGAAUGGAUUGAGAGCUUGCUCUUAUGAAGUUAGCGGCGGACGGGUGAGUAACACGUGGGUAACCUGCCCAUAAGACUGGGAUAACUCCGGGAAACCGGGGCUAAUACCGGAUAACAUUUUGAACCGCAUGGUUCGAAAUUGAAAGGCGGCUUCGGCCGUCACUUAUGGAUGGACCCGCGUCGCAUUAGCUAGUUGGUGAGGUAACGGCUCACCAAGGCAACGAUGCGUAGCCGGCCUGAGAGGGUGAUCGGCCACACUGGGACUGAGACACGGCCCAGACUCCUACGGGAGGCAGCAGUAGGGAAUCUUCGGCAAUGGACGAAAGUCUGACGGAGCAACGCCGCGUGAGUGAUGAAGGCUUUCGGGUCGUAAAACUCUGUUGUUAGGGAAGAACAAGUGCUAGUUGAAUAAGCUGGCACCUUGACGGUACUUAACCAGAAAGCCACGGCUAACUACGUGCCAGCCGCCGCCGUAA